rnacentral:siRNA from 1 species
AAUUUCCUUGGUCUUAUGCAGCA